AUUGAACGCUGGCGGCAGACUUAACACAUGCAAGUCGAGCGGGGUGAUGGUGCUUGCACUAUCACUUAGCGGCGGACGGGUGAGUAAUGCUUAGGAAUCUGCCUAUUAGUGGGGGACAACAUCUCGAAAGGGAUGCUAAUACCGCAUACGUCCUACGGGAGAAAGCAGGGGAUCACUUGUGACCUUGCGCUAAUAGAUGAGCCUAAGUCGGAUUAGCUAGUUGGUGGGGUAAAGGCCUACCAAGGCGACGAUCUGUAGCGGGUCUGAGAGGAUGAUCCGCCACACUGGGACUGAGACACGGCCCAGACUCCUACGGGAGGCAGCAGUGGGGAAUAUUGGACAAUGGGGGGAACCCUGAUCCAGCCAUGCCGCGUGUGUGAAGAAGGCCUUAUGGUUGUAGAGCACUUUAAGCGAGGAGGAGGCUCUUUUGGUUAAUACCCAAGAUGAGUGGACGUUACUCGCAGAAUAAGCACCGGCUAACUCUGUGCCAGCCGCCCCGUAA
rnacentral:rRNA from 1 species